UUGAGAGUUUGAUCCUGGCUCAGGAUGAACGCUGGCGGCGUGGGUAAGGCAUGCAAGUCGAACGGACUAAUUUGUGAUUACAUCAAUGAUUAGUUAGUGGCAAACGGGUGAGUAACACAUUGGUAACCUACCUUGAAGACGAACACAACCCCGAGAAAUCGGGGCUAAUAUUCGAUGGUCAUGAGGGGACAAAAGUCAUUCUCAUGUAAAGUUCCAAAAGAACGCUUCAAGAGGGGCCUAUGGUCUAUCAGCUAGUUGGUGAGGUAAAAGCUCACCAAGGCUAUGACGGAUAGCGGGCGUGAGAGCGCGACCCGCCUCACUGGGACUGAGACACUGCCCAGACUUCUACGGAAGGCUGCAGUCACGAAUCUUCCCCAAUGGACGAAAGUCUGAGGGAGCGACGCCGCGUGUAGGAUGAAGGUCUUCGGAUUGUAAACUACUUUUGCAAGGGACGAAUCUUGACGGUACCUUGCGAAUAAGAGGUUGCUAACUCUGUGCCAGCAGCAGCGGUAAUACAGAGACCUCGAGCGUUAUCCGGAUUUAUUGGGCGUAAAGCGUCCGCAGGUGGUUUGUACAGUCAUUGGUAAAAUCUCGGAGCUCAACUCCGAAUCUGCUGAUGAUACUAACAGACUAGAGGAUGGGAGAGGUGAGCGGAAUUGCCGGUGUAGUAGUAAAAUGCGUUUAUAUCGGCAAGAACACCAGAGGCGAAGGCGGCUCACUGGAACAUUCCUGACACUAAGGGACGAAAGCGUGGGGAGCGAUACGGAUUAGAUACCCGUGUAGUCCACGCCCUAAACGAUGGAUACUAGACUUUGGCAGUAUCGACCCUGUCAGAGUCGGUCAAAAAAGCUAACGCAUUAAGUAUCCCGCCUGGGAAGUACGGCCGCAAGGCUAAAACUCAAAGGAAUAGACGGGGACCCGCACAAGCGGUGGAGCAUGUGGUUCAAUUCGACGGUAAACGAAAAACCUUACCAGGGCUUGAAAUGUAGCUGCUAAUCUCCAGAAACGGAGACUCCUUCGAGGGUGCUACACAGGUGCUGCAUGGUUGCCGUCAGCUCGUGCCGUGAGGUGUACCAUUAAGUUGGGUAACGAGCGCAACCCCCGUGUUAUGUUAUUUUUUACAUAACAGACCGCCCCUGCCUGUAGGCAUUUAAAAAAGUGCCUAGAGGCAGGGGAGGAAGGAGGGGAUGACGUCAAAUCAGCAUGGCUCUUACGUCCUGGGCCACACACGUGCUACAAUGGGGAAUAACAAUGGGUUGCCAAGUCGCGAGACGGAGCUAAUCCCAUCAAACUUCCCCCCAGUUCAGAUCGCAGUCUGCAACUCGACUGCGUGAAGUAGGAAUCGCUAGUAAACGCCGAUCAGCUAUGCGGCGUUGAAUACGUUCUCGGGUCUUGUACUCACCGCCCGUCAAGCCAAGGGAGUUGGGGACGCCUGAAGGCUGGGUUUAUCCCGGUCCAAGGCGGAAUCAGCGACAGGGGCUAAGUCGUAACAAGGCAUGUGUAGCGGAAGCUGCGCAUGGAUCACCUCCUU
rnacentral:rRNA from 2 species